GGCGCGUAGCUCAGCGGGAGAGCACUACGUUGACAUCGUAGGGGUCACAGGUUCGAUCCCUGUCGCGCCCACCA
rnacentral:tRNA from 2 species